rnacentral:rRNA from 1 species
GCGGUUAUACGAGAGGCCCAAGUUGACAGACAUCGGCGUAAAGAGUGGUUAAGUUAAAAUUGUACUAAAGCCGAACAUCCUCCAGGCUGUUAUACGCAUCCGAAGAUAAGAAGUUCAACCACGAAGGUAGCUUUAUUUAAUCUGAACCCACGAAAGCUACGGCACAAACUGGGAUUAGAUACCCCACUAUGCCUAGCCCUAAACAUUGAUAGUAUUAUACACCCACUAUCCGCCUGGGAACUACGAGCAUUAGCUUAAAACCCAAAGGACUUGGCGGUGCUUUAGAUCCACCUAGAGGAGCCUGUUCUAGAACCGAUAACCCCCGUUCAACCUCACCUUUCCUUGUUUUUCCCGCCUAUAUACCGCCGUCGUCAGCUUACCCUGUGAAGGUCAAAUAGUAAGCAAAACUGGUAGAACCCAAAACGUCAGGUCGAGGUGUAGCGUAUGGGAAGGGAAGAAAUGGGCUACAUUCGCUAGCAUAGCGAAUACGGACGAUGCACUGAAACGUACAUCUGAAGGAGGAUUUAGCAGUAAGCAGGAAAUAGAGUGUUCCGCUGAAAUUGGCCCUGAAGCGCGCACACACCGCCCGUCACUCUCCCCAAGCCUACCAACUUAAUUAAUUAAACCACAAUAAUCGCAAAGGGGAGGCAAGUCGUAA